rnacentral:rRNA from 1 species
GAUGAACGCUGGCGGCGUGCCUAAUACAUGCAAGUUGAGCGAACAGAUAAGGAGCUUGCUCCUUUGACGUUAGCGGCGGACGGGUGAGUAACACGUGGGUAACCUACCUAUAAGACUGGGAUAACUUCGGGAAACCGGAGCUAAUACCGGAUAAUAUUUCGAACCGCAUGGUUCGAUAGUGAAAGAUGGUUUUGCUAUCACUUAUAGAUGGACCCGCGCCGUAUUAGCUAGUUGGUAAGGUAACGGCUUACCAAGGCGACGAUACGUAGCCGACCUGAGAGGGUGAUCGGCCACACUGGAACUGAGACACGGUCCAGACUCCUACGGGAGGCAGCAGUAGGGAAUCUUCCGCAAUGGGCGAAAGCCUGACGGAGCAACGCCGCGUGAGUGAUGAAGGUCUUCGGAUCGUAAAACUCUGUUAUUAGGGAAGAACAUACGUGUAAGUAACUGUGCACGUCUUGACGGUACCUAAUCAGAAAGCCACGGCUAACUACGUG